AUUGAACGCUAGCGGGAUGCCUUACACAUGCAAGUCGAACGGAGCGGCGAACGGGUGAGUAAUGCCUCGGAACGUGCCCGGUAGCGGGGGAUAACUACGGGAAAGCGUCGCUAAUACCGCAUACUAUUGGAUGGGCCGAUAUCGGAUUAGCUAGUUGGUGGGGUAACGGCACACCAAGGCGACGAUCCGUAGCUGGUUUGAGAGGACGACCAGCCAAACUGGGACUGGGACACGGCCCAGGCGCCUACGGGAGGCAGCCGUGGGGAAUUUUGGACAAAGGGGGGAACGCUGAUCCAGCCAUCCCGCGUGUGCGAUGAAGGGCUUCGGGUUGUAAAGCACUUUUGGCAGGAAAGCGGUACCUGCAGAAUAAGCACCGGCUAACUAUGUGCCAGCAGCCGCGGGAAUAC
rnacentral:rRNA from 1 species